CUUGAGCAGAGCUGGGCUCGAGUACGUUACGCAUUCGGUUGCUUAGUAACGAGACUCAGGUAGUUCAUAGCUGCUGUAGCUAAUGCUACGAUGUUUACUGUAAAUCAUGCUGCAUUUUGGAGUUUAUAGCGCCUCAGAAUCACGUUAUAAUCCCACUUAAACUCGGACAAACUCAUUAAACUUAAAUGGGAAUCAUUUCGGUCGGGGUGCUGAAGGUAACGAGGGCGUGGCUUGUGGUGUAGAGGGGCGGGGCUGGAGGUGACCUGCUACAGACUGCAGAGAAAGAGCAGCUGGAUUUGUGCCCAAAACAGGUUCAAACUGUGCAUAACGGACAGUUAAACCUCCUCACUUUAAAGCAUAUUUAAUGAGAUGUCAGCCACACUCCUCUGAACAUCAUCAAAAUGUACUUUUCACACCUUUCAACUGGACUGUUUACACUGGAAAGAACUACUUUCCCACGGGCCAGGGUUUCUCUUAUCAGACUCAUUCACUGGUUGACUGAAGGCAGACGCUCACUCCUGCAGGAUGAGUCAUCCCGCCGGACGACCGCAACUCGUGCAGAUCUCCUGGGUCUGGCCUUCUCGCGUAUAAUGACGAUCAUGACCUCUUCUCUUUCACUUCAGGAAUGCUAAAGAAACGAGCACGAGUGCAGACAGCUUGUUUAGCAACACUUCAGAAACUUUCUGUGACUCAGAUCUGAACGUAUUGUGUGCUGUCUAUGUUUACUGGGUACUUAAGAUGUCUUAUUUUGUUGGAAAUUGCAUCAUCAGAGGUCAGCAGGGGACCUUACACUCUUACAACGCUUCAAAAUGUUCUCUGAGUAAUGCCAUAGAAGCACCACUUUGGUUAUGUAAAGAGUGUAAAGAGACGUGUUUGUUAUAGAGAUGAGUGAGUGUGUAUGAAGAACCCUUCAGCUGGUGAAGAACAUUUACCUCAAGUAAAGGUUCUUCAGAUUCACAAGUCCUUCGUAAGAGAAAAUGCAUUUGAUAAUACUUUACAAUAAGUCACAACUAACAGUACUUACAACAGUAAUAAUCACUAAUAAAUGGUUAAGUCACAUCUCA
rnacentral:lncRNA from 1 species